GGGUGCAGGGAGCCGGGCGUGCCGGAGUACGCCCCUGCCAGGUGAAACCGGAGAGCAUCCUAAUAGAUGCCCUCUCGAAGAACCUAGAAGAAACUGGAGGAACCUUCUAGAAUAUGUGUUUAAAUGAGCUCUGGGAACACUUACCACACGGGCGGCCUCUGAAAGCAAAGAUGGAAGCCUGGGGUUACGAAGAUCAAAACACAGACGUGACCAGGGGAAGGAAGCAGUGAGUGUCAGGCCAGGAUGGGGAGGUUGGAUCAUUUCUAGGGCUUCCGGAUUCUGGGCCUCACAGGCCUGCAGCCCCUUAUCAAUGUUUGAAGUUCCCGCAACAUCAAAUGCAGCUGAAAUGAAAGAAUUACAACAUUUGCCAAAGACAA